rnacentral:lncRNA from 10 species
CUUGACUUAACCUGUCAGCAGAGGGCUUGAGGUUAGACCACAGGUUGAACCUAGGUGGCUGCUGGAGAGCAGGCCUUGAAAUCAUGGCAGCAGCAAGACCCAACUGGGGCAGCAUCAUGUCUGGGUUUGAAUCCCGGUUCAGCCACUUUCCAGCUGUGUGAUGUGGGGCAAGUCAGGUGGAGAAACAGAAGCCUGGAGAUGCUGAGUAACUUGCCCAUAGUCUCACAGCUGACAAGUGGCCAAGAAGGAUUCAAACACAUGUGUGCUGGCUCCAGUGGCUCCAGAAGUCUGAAACACUCUGUCUUCCUGCUUUGAGGACAGCUGAAGUCUUGCCACUUCUUCUGGAUGCUCUGACCAUCAGUAAGAGACACGGUCUGACUUUGUUACCCCGGCUGGAGUGCAGUGGUGCAAUCAUGGCUCACUGCAGCCUUAACCUCCUGGGCUCAAGUGAUCCUCUCGCCAAGGCUAGGAUAAGUAGCUAGGACUACAGAUGCGCCCCAUCACGCCCAGCUAAUUUUACAACUUCUGUAGAGAUGGAGUGUUGCUGGGUUGCCCAGGCUGGUCUUGAAUUCCUGGGCUCAAGCGAUCCUCCUGUGUCCGGAAUUGGUGGGUUCUUGGUCUCACUGACUUCAAGAAUGAAGCCGCGGACCCUCGCGAGUCUGUAUCCACCAGCUACUCUUCCAGAUUCAUGAGGCAAGGCCUGCCUGCUCACCUGGCUGGCCCCAAGCACCUCUUCAACCUGUUGCCACCGUCCUGCCUUGCUGCCCUUCUCAGCUCAUCCAGCAGGGUCUCCAAGUCGUGGAAACAGAAGCACAUAUACACACAUGCUCAUAUGUACAUGCCCACAGUCACAUAAGCACACCGAGAAACACCAUCGCAGACAUGUUCUCACAAGCACAUGUGCAUAACACUCACUACCCCUCACGCGUAUACACAUUAAUACACACACUCAUGCACACUCAGUCUUACACACACAGACACACAGCCAUAAUCACUGUUGUUGGUUGAAUUGUGCCCCCCCAUCCCCACCAAAAAGAUAAGUUGGAGUCCUAACCCCCAGUACCUGGGGAUGUGACCGUAGUUGGAAAUAGGGUGUUUGUAGAUGUAAUCAAAUUAAGAUGAGAUCUUACUGGAUUAGAGUGGGCCUUAAAUCCAGUGACUGGUGUCCUUAUAAGGAGAAAAAGAUUUGAAAACAGAGACAUGGAGACACAGAGCAGAAGGCCAUGUGAUGAUGGAGUCAGAGAUUGGAGUGAUGCAGCUAUGAGCCGAGAAAUACCAAGGUGCUGGCAGCCCCCAGAAGCAAGGAGAGAGGCAAGGAACAAUCUCCAUCAGAGCCUCUGGAAGAAACAGACUCUGCCAACACCUUGAUUUCAGACUUUUGGCCUCCUUCACUGUGCGAGAAUACGUUUCUGUUGUUUUAAACUACUGAGUCACCAAGUCUGUGGUACUGUGUUAUGGCAGCCCCGGCAACAAAUCCAAUCACACACACACACACACACACACACACACACACACACACACACACACACACAGCUGGCUCCAGGCUCAGUGAUGAGCUCAGAGGAGUUCCCCUUGGGAGCUGCUCUUUCUCUGUCUUCCUUCCUUAGUGAUUGGUCCAGUGGAUCCACAAAAGCUCAUGGCCCAGAGCAGGAGCCCAGUCAUUUUUAAUUCCUCUUCCCUGGAGUUCUUAACCAUGCGUUGCCCUCAAAAUCUGCUCUCAAGAUUUGGGUUGCCAUAUUUAGGAGCACCAGAAAACAUACAGGAAUGCUGUGUCUGCUUGCAUCAUAUUAAUUAAAAACUGGAAAUAACCUAAAUGUCCCAGAAUAGGUACAUAAACUGUGGCAUAUCCACUUAAUGGAAUACUACUCAGCAAUACAAAAGGAAAACCUAGUGUUACUUGAGCAACAUGGAUGAACUUCACAGACAUAAUAUUGCACAGCACGAGGCAGACACAAAAGUGUGCAUAUGCUAUGAUUCCAUUUACAUGAGAUUCAAGAACAGGCAAAGCAGAUCUAUGGGGAUAGAAGUCAGAAUAGUGGUUACCUCUGGAAGGUGGAAUUGACUGGGAGGGGCUUCAGGGAACCUCCUGGGGUGCUGAAAACAUUCUGUGCUUGCACCGGGUGGUGGUUAUGUGGGCAUUACAUAAAAUUCACCAAGCUGCACCCUUAAUGAUUUGUACAAUUUGAUGCACAAAUCUAACAUCUCAAGAAGAAUAAAUUUUACAAAGUACCUAAGAAGCAAAUGACCAGAA